AUUGAACGCUGGCGGCAGGCCUAACACAUGCAAGUCGAGCGGAUGAAGGGAGCUUGCUCCUGGAUUCAGCGGCGGACGGGUGAGUAAUGCCUAGGAAUCUGCCUGGUAGUGGGGGAUAACGUCCGGAAACGGGCGCUAAUACCGCAUACGUCCUGAGGGAGAAAGUGGGGGAUCUUCGGACCUCACGCUAUCAGAUGAGCCUAGGUCGGAUUAGCUAGUUGGUGGGGUAAAGGCCUACCAAGGCGACGAUCCGUAACUGGUCUGAGAGGAUGAGCAGUCACCCUGGAACUGAGACACGGCACAGACUCCGACGGGAGGCAGCAGUGGGGAAUAUUGGACAAUGGGCGAAAGCCUGAUCCAGCAAUGCCGCGUGUGUGCAGAAGGUCUUCGGAUUGUAAAGCACUUUAAGUUGGGAGGAAGGGCAGUAAGUUAAUACCUUGCUGUUUUGACGUUACCAACAGAAUAAGCACCGGCUAACUUCGUG
rnacentral:rRNA from 1 species